rnacentral:rRNA from 1 species
GGCUCCCUGAGAGCAAAACAUAGGGAGUCGGACCUGCCCAGUGAAGAAUUUUAACGGCCGCGGUACUCUGACCGUGCAAAGGUAGCAUAAUCACUUGCCUUAUAAUUGAAGGCUGGUAUGAAUGGUUUGACGAAAGCACUUCUGUCUCUCUUUUAAUCUAUAAAAAUUAACCUUUGGGUGAAGAGGCCCAACUAGGGUUGAAGGACGAGAAGACCCUGUCGAGCUUUAAGAAAACGAGGAGAAUUUUAUAUUGGUAAAUACACAACCUUUUUUAUCUUUUGGUUGGGGCGACUAGGGAACAAUAAAAGCUUCCCUUAUAUAAAAAACCGUCUGUAAGGAUCCAGCACAAGAUUGCUGAUUAAAAGAAUUAGUUACCGCAGGGAUAACAGCAUAAUCCUUCUUAAGAGACCACAUCGAAAGAAGGGGUUGUGACCUCGAUGUUGGACUAGGAUAUCCUAAGGGUGUAGAAGCCUUUGAAGGUUGGUCUGUUCGACCAUUAAAAUCCUACG